ACCCCUACCCUGGGGUAGAGAGACUGUUUCAAAUAGACUCCCGGCAUCCUUCCCUCUAAGAACUUCCCACCUUGCUCUUGGGGAGACUCGAACUCACAACCUCAUUUUCAUGGUUUAGUGCAUUUAUCACAAUGGAUACAGAAGUAUUAAUAUGUUUCUUCUCAUUAGUAGUGGUAAUUGCUCCUGUCAAUGCUUGAAAAAGUUUAUCACAAUGUAGGCUCUUCAUUUUUCUUUUUGAAAAAGUUAUCUGUUAACUUUGAGGAUUUACAAGGCCAAGGGUAAAUUCACUGCCCUCCACUUAAACUACAUGAUGGACAAUUAUUUUUUCUAAAGAUAUUGUAUAAGUUUUUUGGUCCUGUCCUCAAGUAACAGUAUGUAUUUUGUAUUUUGUCUUUUGUUGGAACUCACUUUUUAAUGCAUAAUUACAUAUAAUUAUCUUUUAAGUGCCGCGAAGUUCUCUUAUAUUGUUAGGGCUCGUUUGGGAGGAAUAAAGAAUAAUUAAUUCCGGGACUAAAUUUAAGAAAGCUUAUCCAUAUUUGGUUGAAGAAAAUUGCGAUAUAAUUAUUCCCGGGAUUAGUAAUUAAUUUCGAGAUUGUAGUAUUUUUUUAUCUCAAUGAAAAGGUGAAAUAACUAAUCCUGUCGCGAUACUUAAUUCUAGAAUAACUUUUUACCAGCCAAACGACCCCUUAGUAAGUUAAUUAAACCCAUGACAUAUUGUGAACGAGCUGAGCCAAAUGAAUAGAAGUAGUUUCCAUUUAAAGAAGAACCCAUUGAAUUGAAUCACAUGCUAAAGCCUUCGAUCUAUCAGUUGAAAGAUCGAAGCAGAAGCUUUUCUCCAAUUUGCUUUGAUUGAAGCAGACAGCUACCUUAUUCUUUUUGCUUUUUGUGAAAACAAGGGCCCCUUCUUCCUACCCUAGGUUUUUACAGUCGGAGUUUAAGUUAUAGACACAGUCGUAAAAAAUUAUUAUCUCUAUUGUAUAGUAUUCCGUCCGUUUCAAUUUAGAUGAGUUAGUUUGACUCGGCACGGAGUUUAAGAAAUAAAAAGAAGUCUUUUGAAAUUUGUGAUCUUAAAAGCUUACAAACAACAAACAACAACAGCCCAGUAUACUCCCACAAGUGAAGUCUGAGGAGGGUAAUAACAACAACAACAACAACUACCCAGUAUACUCCCACUGAGGAGGGUAAUAUGUAAGCAAAUCUUACCCAUAUCCCGAGGGGCAGAGAGGUUGUUUUCAGGUGAUCUUAAAAACUUAAAAUGUAAAAAAACUUUGUAGGACAUGAUAUUUUUGUGGUUAUAAAAGCUUCUCAUUAAAGGUAAAAUGAGAGUUUAAAGUUGAAGUAUUUCCAAUUGUGAAAAUGUGUCAUUUUUUUAGAACAUACUAAUAGAAAAAGUGUGUCAUUUAAAUUGAAACAGAAGGAGUAGCCCGUAACUUUAUUAUCUAUCGCAAUUCCCGCGGACCAAUUUAGGAUGUCUCCGUCCCUGACGUCAAGCAGGCUGCUGACUCUUAUCGUAAUGGAUUAUGUUGAACAACUCUUUAUCCUUCUGGAGGCAUUGGAGAAUAUAGGAAUUAGGAAAUGAGUUAGUUGGAAAUUAGGGUUUUUGUGGCUUUCCCUAGUUUCAAACUUAUUUUGAGAGUUGAGUUUCCUUUAUAUAAGAAAUGGAGGCAAAAACAGACUUGAAUUUCAGCCACAUAACAUGGUUAUGUCCUUAGUUUUCAACCACAAAUUAAACGUGACUGAAAAUAUUUGUAUCAAUAUGGAGUAUAUUAAUGUUGUAAUUUCCAUUCCACAGCCAUACUGCUAUAAAUAAUUACCAGAAUCUUAGAAGAAGAUGCUAUAUAUAGUCAGUAGUGGAUUUAGAAUUUUAAGUCGUGGAUGUUUAACUAUUUUUCCCCUAAAUUUGCUAUUGACAUUGGGUGCUCAGUUAAUAUAUUUAUAUAAAUUACUAAAGAUUUUAUAUAAAUAUAGGGUUUGUUUCCAAAGUUAAUGGGUGCUUGAGCACCCAUAACCUUAAACGUAGAUCCACAUUACACGUGCGCGCACGUGCACGCAUAUAUAUAUAUAUACUUACGUACAUACAUGUACGAUAGCAUGUUAUCAUUUUUAUCGGGUCAUUAAUUAUGUAACGUUUAUCAUACAGGUUUAUCUGUAAUUACUUUAUAAUUAGGUGAUUUGAUUGUACAAAUACUUUAAACACCGUUAGUGCAAACAAUUUAAUUGAUUCUUUUGAAUAGGUGGUCAAAAAUUGCAAAGCAUUUACCGGGAAGAACAGAUAACGAGAUAAAGAACUACUGGAGGACAAGAAUCCAAAAGCACAUUAAGCAAGCAGAUCAAAGCAUGAAUAUUAGACCAUCAUCAAAUUCUGAGAACAACCAUCAUCAACAAGCAAGUACAAGUCAAGCUUCUACUGGAAAUAAUAGCAUUGAAACCUACUCUCCAUCAUUUUACAACGGAAAUAAUGUGGGAACAACUAAUUUUCAAGCCAAUUUUCCAGCUGAAACAAAUGAUAAUAUUUGGAGCAUGGAGGACCUUUGGUCCAUGCAAUUGCUUAAUGAUGCAACCAACUAAUAUAUAGCUCCCAUGUCUCUCCUUCUUCAUGAGUCACUGUGUAAUUCAACUAUAAAACUUAUGAGUUUAACUUUUAUGUAUUAAUAGUAUUGUAAAUAGAUACAUAAUCAAGUUACUUAAGUAUAAAGUAAUUACAGUAAAUUUCUAUGAUAAGAAUUACUCUACUACUUUGUAACCUGAUAAAAAUGAAGCGCAACUAACUUGCUAUCACAUGUUAAAGUAUACAUUAAUAUUGUAAAAUAUUUUUAUAGUAUUGUGUAUCAAGCAUGCAAGAGGGGAAUUCUAGAAGUAGGGAAAAUGUAAUUAAGGGAAAUGACGGUGAUCAGUUAAUCCAUCAAAUCAUGAACACUUGGAAAAGGGUUUAGUUCCUUUCUUCUUCUUCUUCUUUUUUCUAAUUAUAUUAUGGAUAGUUUUUCCCGAAACAAACAUGCAAUAAUUAUGUUUGUCUUAAUCUAUCUCUAAAUCAAAAAUGUAAUGGGAACCUGCAGAAGGAAUGGUAGCUGUGCAUGGUAUCCAUUUGAAUGGGCACAGGGACCUGUAUAUGUAUUAUAUUAUAUAUACUGUCAUCGUAAAAGAAAAUUGUACUAUCACUCAUCAAAAUGAAAUUAGUAAACUGAAAAAUAAAACAAGAAAUGAACAGGGAAAGGCAAUAUAGAGUAAAUUACAAAAAGUGAAAAGUGAAAUAUUUUACCUAGAGUAAAAGAAAUUUUAUAACAACAACAACCCAGUAUAAUUCUAAUAUAUUUACAAUAUAAAUAUAUAAAUUAAAUUCAACGUAAAUCAUUCAUACUUAAUUAAUAUGUACGGGCUGCCAACAUAUACCGAACUGAAUUCACAAGAAAUGGACGUGUGGAAAGGCAAUAUAGCUAUUUUGAGAAAUAUCAAUCUUUGGCUUUCCACAUUUAACUAUAUUUGUGCAUGGCUUUGCAUGGAUGAAGUCCGACGUGAGCCUAACUUUUAAGUAUUUAGAAGGAAGUCUUCACAUGGUCUCUAUCAGUUCACAUCCAACUUUCAUAACUUGUUGCUUCUAUCAUUUUGAUUAGUAAGUAAUUAGGAGCAUACGAUUCCUUCGAACUCAAUAACUUUAAUUCAAAUUAUAUAUUAAUAUUUAAAAAAAUCAUUAAAUAUAUACAAAAAUUAAAUUCAGAACCCGGAUUAAAUGCAUUAUCUUGCGAUUUAAACUCAAAAAUUUAAAUCCUGACUUCGCCUUUAAAUUUGCAUGUCCUAUUAAUCAAAAGUACUUAUAUUUACGGUAACUUUUUAAAGCGUAACUAAUGUACUAAUGGAAAAAACAACCCACUUAGGCACUUCAUUUACUUACACAAACUUGGUGUUUAGUCUCAUACUUAUUUAGGAAGGAUCUUUCACGUCAUUUGUCGUUUUAUGUAACAUAAGUUGAGCAUUGUUGGACCAUUGCCUUGAUACAUUAAUUGUUUCUUUUUCCAUUAUUGUCAUAUAGUCUAUCCACGUUAUUCAAGAAUUGGCUAGCUGUUAGAGAAGAUGAAUUUGAUUAUCAUAUACACUUUUCACAGUGCAUAUAGUCCUCCUAAUUACACACCCAAGUAUAUAUAAUAAAAAAAAAGAGAAAAUUUUUAGAGUUUUCUUUGUUAAAGGUAUGAUUAAAUAAAUUAAUUACAGUUGCUCUUGAUCUUCAACAAUUUAAAUUUUUAAAUGAAAUAGUCAUACAAAUCAAAUAUAUAUGAUACCGAAGAAGAGCAGGUAGGUAAUUAAAAGUGAUUAUAUAUUCGAAUCUCACUACUACACAAAAAGAAUUUCGGUUGUUUGGCCUAUGAAAAUUUUUAAGCUUCCGGAUAAGAUGUUCACAUAUUUCAACGUUCUUCAUUUAGGAAAGAAGAGGGCAAAAAAAGGGCAACUCGGUGCUAAGCUCCCAUUAUGUGCGGGGUUCGGGGAAGGGCCGGACCACAAGGAUCUAUUGUACGUAGCCUUACUCUGCAUUUCUGCAAGAGUCUGUUUCAACGGCUUGAACUCAUGACCUCCUAGUCACAUGGCAGGAACUUUACCAGUUAUGCCAAAGCUCCCCUUAUUAGGAAAGAAGAGGCAAAGUGGAAAAAGAAAGAGAAUUCAAGAUCACAUCUAAACUUUUCAUUGAAAGAACACAGUUUGAUUGUUUGAAUGAGAAGAAAACAUGGAAAAGUUACGAAUCUUGGUAGGUCAAUUACUACAGUAAAAUGAAAAAGGAAUAUUGUUGUGGGCUUUCACAGUACGAAGAUCAUACGAAAUAAACUCCCCACAAUUUUGGUCCACUUGUUGUAUUUCAUCACAUGUUUCAAGUGUAAAACGUGAAGUAAUAAAAGGAUAACUCCCCCACGUGAAUGAUAUAAAUCACAUGCUGGGUCAGCCAUGGUACUCUUAUCGUUCAAAGAAAAGUUUAAUCUAAUGUGUAGACAAUAUAAAAUAAUUUUUUAUUAUCACACCACAUAAAAGAUAAUGUGUACGUAACUGUUCCUAUUAGUAACUUUACAGUAAGAUAUAAAUUGGCAUAACGGGUAAGAUUCGCUAAUAAUAUAACGGGUCUUUAAGUGGUUAGUGUAAAUAAAUUAAGCCUUUUAAGAAAAUAAUGACAAAAUUUGAAGUACGAAAAACAAUGUACUUAUAGAUAAUACUGUAUAAUAUUACUAGAAAUAACCUUUUUAUGAUUAAAAUUAUUCUAAAAAGUGUUUUAAAAAUUAUAUAAUAAUAAUAAUAAUAAUAAUAAUAAUAAUAAUAAUAUUGGUUACAAAUUAUGCGACACAACAAACAUAUACACUAGAUUUACCAUCUACAACAAUAUUUUCAGAAAAUUAUUAUUCAUAGAGAUAUUUGAAUUUUAUAACAAAUUCGCAUAUAACAAGAUAUCAAUUAUUUUGAACCGGAAUAAAAGAGCAACAAACUUUUGUAACUCUGUUGGUUAAAACACUUGCUUAGUAGGUAGAGGUCUUGAGUUUAGUUCUCAAUGGGGGUGUUAAAGUUCUUUUGCCUGAACCUAAAAAAGAGAAAAAUACGUUCUGAAAUUUUUGAUUGCAUGCUAAUUGGAUAUGCAGAAUAUAGUGUUGCAUAUAGAUUUCUUGUUUUAAAAAGUGAUGUGCUUGAUACAAUACUAUAAUUGAGACAAAGAAUGCUGAGUCCUUUGAAUAUAUUUAUCCAUUAUCUGAUAAAAUUUCUCAUAAACCUGUUGAAACAAAUAAUGAAAUUACCUCUAAUGAGGAAGUGACAAGGAGCAAAAGGCCUAGAAAAGAAUAUUUUUCUUAUGAAAAUGAUUUUCAAACUUUUCUUGUCAAUAAUGAAUCAUCAAAUUAUCUUGAAGCUAUAUCUUCUUCAGAUGCUAAAUAUUGGAAAGAGGCAAUAAAAGUUGAAAUUGAUUCCAUUAUGAAAAAUAAUACAUGAAUUUUAAUUGAUUUACGUCCUGGUGCAAAACCUAUUAGUUGUUAAUAGAUUUUCAAAACAAAAUUUAAUCCAGAUGGAUCUUUAGAUAAAUAUAAAAAUCGGUUAGUAGCAAAAGGUUUUUCUCAAAAACAAAAUAUAGAUUAUUUUGAUACAUUUGCACCAGUGACUAGAAUUUCUUCUAUUCAAGUUUUAAUUGUCUUAGCUUCAAUCCGUAAGCUUUUUAUCCACCAAAUAGAUGUGAAAACUUCUUUUCUAAAUGGUGAUUUAGAAGAAGAAAUUUAUAUGGCUCAACCUGAAGGUUGUGUCAUUUCUGGAAAAUAAAGUUUGUAAAUUAAUUAAAUCUCUUUAUGGCCUUAAACAAGCUCCAAAGCAAUGGCUUUUUAUCCACCAAAUAGAUGUGAAAACUUCUUUUCUAAAUGGUGAUUUAGAAGAAGAAAUUUAUAUGGCUCAACCUGAAGGUUGUGUCAUUUCUGGAAAAUAAAGUUUGUAAAUUAAUUAAAUCUCUUUAUGGCCUUAAACAAGCUCCAAAGCAAUGGUAUAUGAAAUUUGAACAAGUCUUAUUGAGAGACGAUUUUUCUUCAAUAAGGUGGAUAAAUGUGUUUAUACUACAGUGCUAGAUAAUGAUUAUGUGAUAAUAUGUCUAUAUGUUGAUGACAUGUUUAUAUUUGGUACAAGUUUAAAUAUUGUGCAAAGUACUAAAUUAUUUUUAUCUUCUAAUUUUGAUAUGAAAGAUCUAGGUGAAGUAAAUAUGAUAUUGGGGAGUACUAAAUUAUUCUUGUCUUCUAAUUUUUAUAUGAAAGAUCUGGGUGAAGUAAAUACAAUAUUGGGAGUUAAAGUUAUAAGGAGUGAAUAUGGAAUAAUGUUGUCACAAGAACAUUACGUUGAGAGACUUCUUAAGAAUUUUGAAUAUUUUAAUGUCACAUUUGUGAGCACUCCUUUUGAUGCUAACUCUAAGUUGAAAAAGAAUAAUGGUAACCCAGUUGCUCAGUCUAAAUAUGCUCAGAUUAUUGGGAGUCUGAUGCAUUUAAUGAAUUUUANNNNNNNNNNNNNNNNNNNNNNNNNNNNNNNNNNNNNNNNNNNNNNNNNNNNNNNNNNNNNNNNNNNNNNCAUUUAAUGAAUUUUACAAGGCCUGAUAUAGCCUAUGUUGUGUGUAGACUGAGUAGAUAUACUCAUAAUCCCAACAGAGAGCAUUGGUCUGCAUUAGAGAUACUAAUGAAAUAUUUGGGAUGAACCAUGAAUUAUGGUAUCCUGUAUAGUAGAUUUUUUUCUACUUUAGAAGGGUACAGUGAUGCAAACUGGAUCUCUGAUUCAGAUGAGACAAAAUCCACUAUUGGAUAUGUGUUUACCCUUGGUGGUGCUGCAACAUCGUGAAAAUCAACUAAUAGACGAUCAUUGCUAGAUCGACUAUGGAAUCAGAGUUUGUAGCUUUGGAGUUAGCUUUGAGGCUGAGUGGCUAAAAAACUUCUUAGUCAAUAUCCCUUUAAUAAAGGACGUAUUGCCUCAUGUGUUUAUACACUGUGAUUGUCAAGCGGCAAUAGUUAUAGCAAAGAAUAAAUCUUAUAAUUGUAAAAGUAGACACAUGAAAUUGAGACAUGAUGUCAUAAAGCAGCUGUUGAGAGAUGGAAUAAUUUCCAUUGAUUAUGUGAAGUCAUAAGGUAAUUUGGCUGAUCCUCUAACUAAACCCGUGGAAAGAAAAUGAUAAUAUAUAUAGGGAGUUGGGGCAGGUUGAAGGGGAGGGGAAGUAAAAACUCAUGCAGAUUGACCUGGAUGAUCCCCGGGGGAGGGGGGGUAUAAAACUUGUGAUAGAAAAAUAACGAGGGGUUGUUCUCGCGAUUGAUUGAAGUAUGCUUGCUUCUCUGCUAAAUGAUAAUGUGGGUGGAUUCGAGGACCUCCUUUUCUGAAGUGAAAGAAGGGACAUCCACCAUCAUGAAUCCCCUCCUAGUAGAGGCGAGUGCAGGUCCUGACUAGGUUUUAGUCUCUAUUCUUUCUCGUUUCGGGUAUACUUACGAGCUAGGAUAUCUUGGAAAGUCUAACUCGGGACCAUCUGACCGGACUACCAAGCUUGACUAUCAAGCCGUUAUCUUUCAUUUAGUGAGUAGUUGAUCGAUCGAACUACGAUGAUUGGAAUGAAGACAGAUAGACUUUCGUGCGAAAGACAGAACGGCAAAACUUUAUUAUUAUAUUAAACCUCAAAAGAGAUGGGGUUAAGGACGACAUGUUGUCAAUAGAGAUGGUAACCCAACCUAUGUGAUUGGAGAUCCCAUGAAGUAGGUUCAUAUGGGUAAUAACAAAUCAAUAUUGGCACUGAUGCACUAAAAGAGACUGUUUGACUACUACUAAUAGAGAGGCUGAGUUAUAACUCUUAAUGAAAUUCAUAGUCCUUAAUGGAUAGUGUAUUUAAAAGCAGUAUACACUUGAUGAAUUCACCUAUAUGAGAGUGGAGUGGGCCACUCCUAUGAGAUUUUGGCCUAGUCUCUAGAGCUCUCAUGAAUAACCAGGCACGCGCAUGGCCUAUUGGGCGCAAAACCGCGUUGAACAACAAAAUUACCUGGGGUCAAAAUGUGAUUGAUAAAAUCUCUGACUUACAAUAAGAAUUAUUCGUUCAUAGAAAUAUUAUAUUUCACCAGUAAUUCCGUGAGUUAAGUUUUAUUGGUCUAAGUUUGGUUCAUAGUCUUGAAGACACCAAACCUAUUAUAUUUGGACCAUACAAAUCCAGCAAAAUCUUAUUAUACUAUUUUUUUAUUUUGAAAAUAUGUGGGGAUUGUAGUGAUAUUUUCAAUAUAAAUAAGUCCAAGUGCCAAUAUGCAUGUAAAGAAUUUUACAUAUGGCAAGCUUUCUAGAACUCUAAAGACAAAUGACAAUCCUCCUUCGUGCAAUCAAACAAAUGGCAAUCCUCCUUCAUGCAAUCAAACAAAUGGCAAUCUAAGAAGCUUUCAUUAGGCUUAUAAAGAGCCAUGAUUAGGCCAUUAUUAUUCAAUCAUCAAACAACAAAAAAAGGCUAAUCAUUAGCAAAGAGAAAUUCUUCUUUCUUCUUUCUCAACUAUACGUCCCACUCCUUCUAAUUUCUUCUUCUAUGAUAUUUUAAUUGGCAUAAGAUAUCAGUUGCUCUUUAUCUUCUAAAUUGUUGGAUUUAUUAUCUAAUUUUGCUAAUUCCUGUAUCCUCCCAAAUAGAGGUAGGCUUGUUUAAUCCUGGAAAAACAUUUCACAUUGCUGAAAUAGUUCUUAGGACAGUGCUUAGCAGACUCAAGCCAGUUGGAGUAUUUCCGCUCACAAAUAAUAUUAUUACAGAAUUAUUAUUGUUGUUAUUUUCCGGUGUCAUUUCCCUAAAGAUUUUAAGUGUUGAUUGUGACGACUCGGAGGGUAAUCACCGUAAUUCUCCCUUUUCUUGUGUUACUGAGGCCUUGAAAACCUCUUAUUGGAUUGCCUCAUUUUGCGUGCCCAGUCCAGGCGCGAAGCCGGAAAAUUUUUAUGUGAAAAUAUUUGAACUCGUGUUAAAAACUAUAAAUUUUGAUAUCAAUAUUGCUAUGGUUGACUUUGGUCAACGUUUUGGGGUAAACAGACUGGACCCGUGAUGUGACGGUCACGGAGGGUCCAUAAUUAAAUUUGGGACCCGGGCGUAUUUUCGGAACCGAAAUCCGAGGUCCCAGGCCCGAGAAAAACAAUUUUUCAGUUUGAUUGAUUCCUGUUAAUGUUUAAGGAAAAUGAAUUAUAAAAAUGAGCAAAAGGUAAUGGUAUCAGGCUCGUAUUUUGGUUCCGAUGCCCGGUACAAGUCAUAAAUAAUUGUUAAGAACUAUCUGUGAAGUUUCAUUUGCAUCUGACGCCGUUUGACGUGUUUCGUACUUGAAAAUAGAAACUUUGAGUUUCAAGUGUUAAAUAGCGAAAUUAUGAUUUUGAGGCUUAAUUCUAUGUAAAAGGUGCAUUUUGGCUAUUUGAUCGCACGAGUAAGUUCGUAUAACGUUUUCGAGUUAGUGUACAUGUUUGGUUCGGAUCCCCGAGAGCUCGGGUGUGUUUUGGAGGUGGUCCGGGGUGGUUUAAACAUAUGAAAAAUAUCAGGUUCAGGGUUGCAGGCACUAGUGCGGCCGCAUACCAUUUCCAUGCGGUCCGCCUGGGGGCCACGCGACCGCAUCACUUCUGUGCGGUUUGCAUGGCUGAGUCUGAGGCCACGCGGCCGCAUGCCAUUUCUGUGCUAUCCGCAUCGCUGAGUCUGAUGCCACGCGGCCGCAUGCCAUUUCUGUGUGGUCCGCGUCAGGGCCCCAAAAAGGCUUAUAAAUCCGAAAUUUCAGCCAUUUUUCCACUGUUCACAAGCCCAAAACCUAAGAGGCGAUUUUCUAAACAAAUUUUCUUCUCCAAAAUAAUUGGUAAUUUAUUUCUAACUUAAUUUUUCUACUAUUUAACAUCUUUUAACAUAAUUUCAACUCCAGACAAAGAUUUUCAAAAAUAAGAAUUUGGGAUUUGGGGUAGAACGUAGGUUUUCAUAAAAUUGGGGGUUUGGACCUCAAUUUGGGGUCCGAUUUCAAAACAAAUUGCAUCUAUGAACUCGUGGGGGAAUGGGUAACCCGUUUUUGGUUCGAAUAUCGAGUUUUGACCACGUGGGCCCGGGGGCAUUUUGGAAAUUUUUGAGUAAAACUUUGGGAAUUUCAUUCUUAUGCAUCCAAAUUGAUUUAACUAGCAUUUGUUGAUACAUUUGAGUAAAUUGUGGUUAGAUUCGACCAGUUCUGAAGCAAAUUCGAGGGUUAAAGCUAUUCUACGGGCGUGAGUUGAGUUGGAAGCCUUCGAGGUAAGUGUUCGAUCUAACUUUGGCUUGGGAAUAGGAUUAGGUUGUUAAUUGCUAUGUGUUAUGUGGAGUCGGUGUAUAGGUAUGGUGACAGUUACCUAUGCGCCCGAGUCGAGCAUGACCGUNNNNNNNNNNNNNNNNNNNNNNNNNNNNNNNNNNNNNNNNNNNNNNNNNNNNNNNNNNNNNNNNNNNNNNNNNNNNNNNNNNNNNNNNNNNNNNNNNNNNNNNNNNNNNNNNNNNNNNNNNNNNNNNNNNNNNNNNNNNNNNNNNNNNNNNNNNNNNNNNNNNNNNNNNNNNNNNNNNNNNNNNNNNNNNNNNNNNNNNNNNNNNNNNNNNNNNNNNNNNNNNNNNNNNNNNNNNNNNNNNNNNNNNNNNNNNNNNNNNNNNNNNNNNUUCAUUUGUUAUUAGAAUUGUGAAAGAAGUGAACAAUUGGGAUAAAUUCUUGUUAUAAGAGAUAUGAAGUGUAAGAUGAGAAGUAAAUGAACUAGAGAUGAGUUGUUGGUGUUUUUCCCUUGCCGGGACUUGUUGNNNNNNNNNNNNNNNNNNNNNNNNNNNNNNNNNNNNNNNNNNNNNNNNNNNNNNNNNNNNNNNNNNNNNNNNNNNNNNNNNNNNNNNNNNNNNNNNNNNNNNNNNNNNNNNNNNNNNNNNNNNNNNNNNNNNNNNNNNNNNNNNNNNNNNNNNNNNNNNNNNNNNNNNNNNNNNNNNNNNNNNNNNNNNNNNNNNNNNNNNNNNNNNNNNNNNNNNNNNNNNNNNNNNNNNNNNNNNNNNNNNNNNNNNNNNNNNNNNNNNNNNNNNNNNNNNNNNNNNNNNNNNNNNNNNNNNNNNNNNNNNNNNNNNNNNNNNNNNNNNNNNNNNNNNNNNNNNNNNNNNNNNAGGAGUGGUAUUUAUCGAUUUCCUCCACAAGAUGGAGUGGUAUUUAUCGAUUUCCUCCACCAGAUAGAGUGGUAUUUAUCGAUUUCCUCCACAAGAUGGAGUGGUAUUUAUUAUUUCCUCCACAAGAUGGAGUGGUAUAUAUUGAUUUCCUCCACAAGAUGGAGUGGUAUAUAUCGAUUUCCUCGACAAAAUAGAGUGGUAUUUAUUGAUUUCCUCAACAAGAUGGAGUGGUGCUAUUGAUUGGGUGAGGACGAGAGUAAAAGCAUGAUGGGUGGUGCCGUGCAACGUGGUUUUAUUGGUCUUACCUUACUGGUGUUCCUUAUUUCGUUUUCCCUUUAUUAGUUGUUGUUUCAUUGGAUUCUCUUGUUUAAAUGCUAUCUAUUCAGUGUUCCUUAUUCCGUUUCCCUUUAAUAGUUGUUGUUUCAUUGGAUUCUCUUAUUUAAAUGCUAUCUAUUCAUAUCUUAAUUGUAGAAGUUAUAACUGAAAUGCUAUUCCCCCCAGCAUGUCCCCUCCCUUUUUGUUGUUUAAAUUCUUGUUUUCCUUUUCUGUUAUCGCAUAUAUCUGUACAAGUUGUUUAUGGUUGGUCCGGUUAGCCUCGUCACUACCUCGCCGAGGUUAGGCCGGACACUUACCUGCCUUUUUGUGCACAGGUCAGGACUCAACUACGGACCGCAGCUUUAGACCGGGAGUGAUCCUUCAGUCCAGAGGCUCCGAGGUAGUUCGCAGGCGUUCGCGGGCACCGAGUCUCCUCUAACUUCCCCUUUCAGGUUAUUAAAUUGUAUCAAACAGCCAUGUUAUGUACUUCUUUCAGACUAUUAUUUUUAGCACUCUUUAGUUGUCCGUGAGCAGUGACACCAGNNNNNNNNNNNNNNNNNNNNNNNNNNNNNNNNNNNNNNNNNNNNNNNNNNNNNNNNNNNNNNNNNNNNNNNNNNNNNNNNNNNNNNNNNNNNNNNNNNNNNNNNNNNNNNNNNNNNNNNNNNNNNNNNNNNNNNNNNNNNNNNNNNNNNNNNNNNNNNNNNNNNNNNNNNNNNNNNNNNNNNNNNNNNNNNNNNNNNNNNNNNNGUUAUAAGGGUUGGCUUGCCUAACUUCGACAGUAGGCGCCAUCACGACUCCCAAUGGUGGGUAAAUCCGGGUCGUGACAUCAACACUCUUAGAAAUUUCUAAAAGACUACAAGAUAAAGUAAAAUAUAUAAAGAAAGAAGUAAAGACAAAAUCUAGAGAAAAAUUAUUUUGCUAGGUACGUAUGAUCCCCCUGCCCCCAUCUUCAAUACAAUAUGACAUCCUUUCUAUAGGAAUCAAAUCUCAUAAGGUGCCACGAUGCGUCGUGCUUCCAUUUCCAUGAUGUGUCGUCAUCUCUUUUUAUUCCUUUAUUUGUUUUAUCAUGAUAUUUUUAAUUCCUGCAAGAUACUAUUAGAAAAUACAGAUAAUUGACACACACACACACACACACACACACACACAUAUAUAUAUAUAUAUAUUAUUUAAAAUAAUAUAUUUUUUAAGUAUAUAAUAUACAAAUAUUUUAUAGCCAUCAAACUCCCCCGCACUUGAAUUUUUGCUCGUCCUCGAGGCAGUAAUUUUAUUGAUAAUUGUUGUUUCUUGUAGAGUAGAAAAGUAAAAAAAUAAAAUUUCACAUAAAAUUCAAAACAUAUAAGUUUUUCAAGUUGCCAAAUCUUUACCUUGUUUCUGCUUCUGCUUUUGUUUGCCAAAAACUUUCAACUCCUCUUUUGAUGAACCUUUUGAGAUUGAUAAUAUUAUGAUUACAAUUUCGAGUUUCUCAAAUUUUUUCCAUAGGCUUGCCCUUCAUGUCAGUCUCCACUAAUGUAGAAUCAACACUAACGUCUAAAAUUAUUUUAGGACUUUUUCAGGCUUGUAAUGAUAGGCUUAAUGCUUGUAAGGUAAAAGAAUAUAUUUGUAGUGACUUUGUUCCAUCCAGCUUUAUUAUGAGAGCCGAUUAUUUUACCAAAGUAACUAUGUACAACUCAAUACAAGAAAAUAACUCUAGAGAUUGGGAUAAAAGUCCCGAUCUCUAAUUUCAUAAUUAAUAUCACUUAAGUUAUCAUUUUUCCCAAUAGAUUUCUUAAAUUCAAGCUUCUUGAACCAAAAAUUUAUUUUAUAGGUAUAUACACCUUGUUUUCCUCUUCAUCUUCUUUUUUAAGAGUGAAAUAGAUCAUUUACUCCAUAAGUAUUCCUUCAUCGCUUGCUGUAAUAGUCAUUUUUGCUCAAUUACUGCCGGAAGGAGUAGUAUCAAUUUUUUUGUAAGAUAAACCAAUAGGUGUAUCAAUAAAAGUUGGUUUAUUGCUAUUUUUUCUUUUUGAUUUUUUUUUGGCUCAAAGUUGGUUGCUAAAAGGUAAAAUAUAAAUAUUUGUGGUAAAAAAUAAAUACGCUAAAAAGGGUGUCAAAGAAAUUCUAAUUUCAUUCUAAAAAUAGUGUUGUCUAGAAUUUCGUCUUGAUAGAUAUUUGGGGCAAGAUCUAGCAGAAUUUUAUUGAUUUUACCUAUUGAGAUCAUAAUGCUUCACAAUUCCAACACUUUCUCAAAUUUGGAGAUACUCGUUCUUACCUUCACAAAAAUAAAUCACAAACUUGGAAGUUAUAUGGCAUAAAUGAAAAAACUUAUGCUUGAAAAAUAUGUAAACUUUUAUUUUAAAAUUUUAAUAUUGUACAAGAACAACAAUUAUAAAUAAUAUAUAUAUAUAUAUAUAUAUAAACAAAGAAGAAAAUCCUUUUUUUCUUCUUGUUCCGAGAUGUCAGACUGCAAAGCAUAAUCUUAAUCAACACAUGUUUUUAUAUGUAAUAGACUGUCUAAUUUAAGACUUUAUUAGUCAUUUGGUCCUGAUUUAAAUAUAAACCAACAAAUUUAUCUGUGCCAACAUUUUGAAUUGAUUCAUUAAAUGGUUAGUCAACCAGUUACUUAGGCAUACCAAUCACCAUGGAGUUACUCCUGCAUAGGUGGCUCUGUUUUUGCAGAGGUCUGCAUGAUAUGUUCUGGUUGUACAAUAACCUGGAUAUUGACCAGAUCAAUUGAUUAAGCAUUUAAUUACCCAAAUCUACGUCAGGCUUAUGAGGCUCCACUGCUUCUCCCUCAAUGGCUAUGAGUUUUGUAUCUUAGUUUUGAGUUUAACGUCGUUAACUCGAGGCUUAUGAGGCUCCACUGUUUCUCCCUCAAUGGCUACGGGUUUUGUAUCUUAGUUCUGAGUUUAACGUCGUUAGCUCGACUUAUUAAUUGCAUAAUUCAUCAGUCUAUCAAAGUAACCGAUGGAUGUUGUUCAAAAUGUCUUCAUAGUAAAAACUUUAGCCUAUGACCAUUUUCCUUAAACUUGUCUCCCCUAUUUUUCUGAAUUUUAUUGUCCCGUAUAGAGUAACGCCUGUAACAUUGUAAGGAUCUGUCCACCUGGAUUUUAAUUUUUCUGGGAAUAACCUGAGUUGGCUAUUGUAAAGAAGUACCUGAUCUCCAAUUUUAAAACUCUUUAGUCGGAUCAACUUGUCAUGCUAUAUUUCUAUUUUUUCUUUAAAAAUUUUAGCAUUUUCAUAGGCUCCCAACCUCGGUUCUUCCAAUUCAUUAACCUGAAUAAAUCACUUUUUACCAGCAGGUUAAAUCAAAGUUUAGUGCUUUCAAUGCCCAAAAAGCUUUAUGUUCCAAUUCUACGGGCAAAUGACAAGCUUUUCAAAAGACUAAUCUAUAUGGAGAUGUUCCAAUUAGUGUUUUGAAAGCCGUACGGUACGCCCAUAGUGCAUCAUCUAAUUUUAAAGCCCAGUCAUUUCUUGAGAUUCCAACCGUUUUUUCAUUAAUUCUUUUUAACUCGCGGUUGGACACCUCAACUUGCCCUUGAGUUUGAGCAUGAUAUGGUGUUCCUGUUUUGUGAGUCACGUUAUAUUUUUACAGUAAAGGAGAAAAUUACCUAUUGAUAAAAUGAGUUCCUUGGUCACUAAUAAUGACUCGCGGUGUGCCAAAUCUAGUAAAAAUAUUUUUCUAAGAAAAUUGCACAUUGUACGAGCAUCAUUCUUUCUUGUGAGGAUGGCUUCAACCCAUUUUGACACAUAAUCCAUACCCACAAGAAUAUAUUCAAAAGAGUGAGAUUUCUUGUGGGGAUGGCUUCAAGCCAUUUUUGAUAUAUAAUCCACAGCCACAAGAAUAUAUUCAAAAGAGUGAGAAGAAGGAAAAGGACCAAUAAAAUACAUUCCCCAAACAUCAAAUAUUUCACAAACCUGUAUUGAUUGCAGUGGAAUCUUAUCUCUCUUGGUGAUAUUACCUGUUCUCUGACACCUGUCACAUUGUGCUACAUAUGCUCGGGCAUCUUUAAAAAGUAUGAGCCAGAAGAAUAUGGCUUCUAAAACUUUAAAAGAUGUUCGAUUUACUGCAUAACAUCCUUCAAUUGCUCCAUCAUGACAGUGAUAUAGAAUUUUAUUCAUCUCUUCUUCAGGUACACACCUUCUAAUGAUAUUAAUAAAGAGUGUGGGCCAGAAGAAUCCGGCUUCUAAAACUUUAAAAGCUGUUUGAUUUGCUGCAUAAUGUCCUACAAUUGCUUCAUCAUGACAGUGAUAUAGAAUUUUAUUCAUCUCUUCUUCAGGUACACACCUUCUAAUGAUAUUAUCUGCACAAUUUUUUAAUAAGUAAGGUUCGUCCCGCAGAUAAUACUUUACAUUAGAUAUAAGUUUUUUUCUUUGUUGGUAAGAGAAAUCUUGCGGUAUCUACUUUCCAACCAAGUAAUUCGCGAUAUUUGCGAACCAGGGUGGUUGAGUCACAAUUGUGUUAACUGAAAAAAUAUGUUCAUCAGAAAAUUCUUCUUUUAUCUCAUUAAACUCAAGGGGGAGAUUUUCUAAUCUAGACAAAUGGUCAGCUACUUGGUUCUCUAUCCCUUUCUUGUCAUUUAUCUCAAGGUCAAAUUCUUGCUGAAGUAAAAUCCAUCUUAAUAAUCUAGGUCGAGCAUCUUUCUUAGCUAAGAGGUAUUUUAAAGCUACAUGAUCAGUAAAAACAGUGACUUCUGUUCCUAUCAAAUAGGAACAAAAUUUAUCAAAAGCAAACACUACUGCUAGUAACUCCUUUUCUGUCGUGGCAUAAUUCACUUGAGUCUCACUCAAUGUCCUACUAGCAUAGUAAAUGGGAUGGAAUAUCCUAUCUUUUAUUGGGCCUAAAACCGCUCCAACCUCUGUGUCAUUAGCAUCACACAUGACCUCAAAAGGUUGGUUACAAUCAAAGGACAUGACUACAUGUGCAGUUGAUAACUUUUCCUUAAGGGUUUCAAACGCUUUCACACAUUCACCUGAAAAAUCAAACGUAAUGUCUUUCAUCAAGAGGUUAGUUAGCGAUUUUUGAAAUUUUUGAGAAAUCCUUUACGAAUCGUCUGUAAAAACCUGCAUGACCUAAGAGGUUAGUUAGCGGUUUUGAAAUCUUUGAGAAAUUUUUUGUGAAUCGUCUGUAAAAACCUGCAUGACCUAGAAAGCUCUUAAUGCCUUUCACAAUUGUGGGAGGGAGUAAUCCUGCUAUAAGAUUAAUUCCUUAUCAAAUUCUAUCCCUUUAGCAGUGAUUUUAUGUCCUAAAAUAAUUCCUUCCACAACCAUAAAUGAUAUUUUUCCCAAUUAAAAACUAAGUUUGUUUCUUCACAUCUUUUAAGAAUUAAGGUCAAGUGGUUAAGACAAUACUUAUAUGUUUUGCCAAAUAGUGUAAAAUCAUCCAUAAAAAUUUCAAGAAAUUUGUCAGUCAAGUUAGCAAAAAUUUCCAACAUACAACGGUGAAAUGUAGCAUGGGCGUUGCACAUACCAAAUGACAUUCUCCUAUAGGCAUAUGUUCCAUGAGGGCAUGUGAAUGUUGUCUUAUCUUGAUCUUCUGGUACAAUUGGUAUCUGGUUAUAUCCUGAAUAGCCAUCAUGAAAAUAGUAAAAAUCAUAUCCUGAAAUUCUUUCCAACAUUUGAUCAAUAAAUGGCAAAGGAAAAUGAUAUUUUCUAGUAACAUCAUUGAGACGUCUAUAAUAAAUACAGACUCUCCAUCCUGUAACAGUUCUGGUAGGCAUAAGCUCAUUAUUUUUAUUUUUUAUAAUUGGCAUACCUCCUUUUUUUGGUACUACCUGAACGGGACUUACCCACGGACUAUUAGAAAUAGGGUAUAUAAUACCUGUAGCCAACAACUUUACGAUCUCUUUUUUCACUACUUCCUGUAUUGUUAGAUUCAAUCUUAUUUUCGGAUGGACUAUUGGCUUGUAGCUAUCCUCCAUGAGUAUUCUAUGUGUGCAUAUAGCAGACUAAUCCCUUUAAUAUCUUCUACAGUCCACCCUAAGCUCCUUUGUGUGCUUUCAAUACUUUAAUCAAACUACUUUCUUGUUCUGCAGUAAGAGAAGAUGAAAUAAUUACUGAAAAUAAUUCUUUCUCAAGAUAUACAUAUUUCAAAAGAGAAGGGAGAGUUUUGAGUUCAAUUUUUUAUUAAACUUCUUCGGGUUUCAUUUCUUCUUCCUCUGAAUCUUUGUCCAAUAUUUCAGCUUCUCUUCUGAUGGUGGGAUCAUCGUCCUGUGUGGUGCCUGAUUUGAUCAAGCAUCUUUCCACUGAAUUUGGAAUUGAUCAUCUUUGAAUUCAUCUGUAAAAUAACUAAUUAUGUCAAUUGAAAAACAUGAAGAUGAUGUUUCAUCUCCUGAAUAUCUUAGUAUCUUUUGCAUAUCAAAGAUGACUCUCUCUUCAUCAACUCUCAGAAUUAGUUGUCCUUGAUGAACAUCUAUAAUUGCUCUUCCUGUAGCAAAAAAUGGUCUACCUAAAAGUAUUGGUUCAUUAGGACAUUCUUUCAUUUCAAGCACUAUAAAAUCUACAAGGAAAAAAACUUAUCUACUCUUAUGAAUACAUUUUUAAUUAUUCCCUUAGGUUUCUUAGUACUUUGAUCUGCAAAUUAAAGAUAAAACAUGGCAUCAAAUUUAUUGAAGCUUCAGAAUCACAAAGUGCUUUUUCAAAAUAUACUCCUCUCAAAGUGCAUGGAAUUGUAAAACUGUCUGGAUCACCAAGUUUUUGUGGUAGCUUAUUUUGAAGUAUAUCACUGCAUUUUUCCGUAAGCAUUACCACAGAAACUUCUUCUCAUUUUCUUUUACUUGACAAAAUUUCCAUUAAAAUUUUGGCGUAUGAGGGAAUUUUGUAACAAAGCAUCAGUAAACGGAAUUGAUGUGAAUUUGUUUUAAAAUCUCCAAAAUUUUUACAAAUUGGAUGUCAAGCUUUUUGCUUUUCAUUUUUUGUGGAAAGAGAAUAGUCACAGGGAGAGGAGUUACUUUUUCAAUAUUUUUUCUUGACUUCAUUCUUUUCAGAUGGUUCAGAGGGUAUUUUAACAUUCUUACCGUUGUUUACCUGUUGUUCUGAUCGGUCUGCAUAAGGUUCAUCAGACUCCUUACCCGACCGUAAGGUAAUGUCCUUAAGGUGAUCCUUUGGAUUUUUCUCUAUAUUACUUGGUAAGGGGCCUUUUAUCUUUUCUGGCACAUGAGUGGUCAGUUGGCUUAACUGAAUUUUUAAAUUCUUAAGGGCAGAAGUCUGACUCUCCAUAUUUUCAUCAGUGGCCUUAUGUGCUUGUACAUAAGGUCAUCAAGACUUUGAUGAGCUUGUUGAGGGCUUUGUUGAUAUGGGGCUGCUUGCUGAUAAGGUUUAAAAUUCAAUUGCCCUCGGUUUUGAUUCUGAUAUACGGAUGGACCCUGAACAGGUUGUUUCUAAAAGUUUUGAGAGUUCUCGGCACCAUUUGGAUUUCUCUAUUGAAAUCCUGGAUGUUUAUAUGCCAUUGGACUUCCAGAAGGGUAAAAUUUGUAGCAUAUAACAUUGACUUGUUCGUCAUUUUGAUGGAAUGCUUGGCAUUUAUGGUUUAGAUGAUUUCCUCCACACAUGUCGCAAACUUUAGACUGACUUUUUGUUGUGUAUUCACCUGAAAGUAUUCAAACUUUUGUGCCAAAGACACAAUCUGUUGUGUUAGUGUAUUUAAAGAAUCUGCCUGAUUUACUGUUGCAGCUUUCUUGAUAAUUAUACGCUCAGAUGGCCAUUGGAUGGCAUUCUCAGAAAUUUUAUUCAACAAUUGCAAUGCUUCCUCUGUUGUUAUUCUCAUUAAUGAACCUCCCGCAGUUGCAUCUAUCACAUUUCUAGAAGAGGGUUUUAGCCCAUGAUAAAAAAUAUACAACUGCAUAUGUUCAGGAAUAUCAUGGUGUGGACAUUUUCUUAACAUUGCUUUUAACCUUUCCCAAGCUUGAUAAACUGACUUUGUGUCAGUUUGUAAGAAAUUAGAUAUGUCUUGUCUUAACUUUGUGGCCAAGCUUGAUAAACUGACUCUGUGUUAGUCUGCAAGAAAUUAGAUAUGUCUUGUCGUAAAUUUGCGGUUUUAGCAGGGAAAAUGUAUUUAUUUAAAAAUUUCUGAGUCAUCUCGUCCCAUGUGGUAAUUGAUCCUCGAGGCAAAAUUCGCAACCAAGUCUUAGCGUCCCCUUUUAAAGAAAAAGGAAAUAGCCUUAACUUAAUUGUUUCAGGGGAUACUCCAUUAUACUUAGAUGUUUCAACUAGUUCUAGAAAAUCAAUUAGAUGACUAUUUGGAUCUUCACUUGAAUCUCCCGUAAAGAUACAAGAUUGUUGGAUCGUUUGAAUCAGGCCGGUCCUGAUUUCAAAGUUGUUGGCUGCCACUGGGGGUUUUCUGACACUCGAUUCACAGUUGAAGAGGUCAGGCCUAGUAUAAUCCCUUAGGAUUCUAUUUGCUGGACUUGGCGCCACUUCAUCUGGUGGUGGCACUUCGUAUGGAUUGAUAUCUUCUACUCCCUGAUUUUCCAUUCCUUCAGAAGCUAUACUAUGAUAAGAUGAUGUUUGUUCUUUCCUGCGUAAACGAAGAGAUCUUUCAAUUUCCGGAUUAUAAUGUGCCAACUUUUUUGUAGAAGAGUGGGUCAUAAACUAAGUAUUUUUUUUAAACAAGAUUUUCUUUAAUAACAAUUAAACUUAAUUCCUACAAUAAGAGUCUCACUAAAAGAAAAUAGUAAAAGAAAAGUAGUAGUAGUGAAUAGUACACUUAGUAAUAAUAAUNNNNNNNNNNNNNNNNNNNNNNNNNNNNNNNNNNNNAGUGAAUAGUACACUUAGUAAUAAUAAUUAUCUAUAUUAAAGGAAAAGAUAGUUAGUACAAAUAGUAUAUUAUGAUGAAAGUACUAUGACAUGAAGUUGCUGACAAUAUCAUAAGAGUUAUAGAUAUACACAUUAAUUAUAUCUACACAUAUUAAUAAUAAAAAUAGUAGAUAAUGGUUGCAACAAUGAGAAAGAAAGAAAAAAAAUUAUAUUACUACGAAAAAAAAUGUUAGAAUGGACAUAAUAGUAAUAGUUAUAAAAAUAUUUAGCAGGAGAUGAUAAUACUAACAAAAAUAAGGAUACCAAUACAUAUAAUAAUAAAUUCUCAAAUUAGUAAUAAAAUAUCUAAUUUGAAGUAGACUUAUGCCAUUCCCUGGCAACGGCGCUAAAAAUUUAACGAGGCCGAUGCGUAUAAGAUUUUGCUACUCGUACUAUGUCAAAUUCUAGUAUAGUUUAUGAUAUCCUCCCACGGAGAUUGGAUAAUCUAGCUACAAACUUAUAAUAUUCUUACUACUAUUUGAGAGAAUCAGAUUGCUGAAGUUUUGUUUGUUGAAAAUUUAAAUUGCUUAAGUUGAAACAAAAUAACUUUCAAAAGAUUUAUAUUUAUAAAGAGUUGGGAAUCAUUGAAUUCACUCGAUAGCUUGAUAAUAAUAAAAUCUUAGCUUCUACAUCUAUUUCUCUUAGGAAUAAUUAUUUAUUGCUAAUCCAAUUAUAUUUUGCUCUUUAAGAAAUAAUCAAUUAACAACACUCAUUUUUCUUAGGAAUAAUUGUUUAUUGCUAAUACAAUUAUAUUUUGCUCACUAAGAAACAAUCAAUUAACAACACUUCGUGAGAAUUAUGUAAAUCAAUUGAUAUAUGACCCGUGACGAUUAAACUGAAAAAAUAUCCUGCAAUUACUUUUUACUAAAAAUCAAUAAGCUUGUCAACUAUAACUCCUCCGUGGGAAUUUGAAUGGAAGUAAUCAAGAUUACAAACUUGGAAUGAUAGUUUAAAAAGAAUUACUCUCACUCUAUUAUUUUACCCAAUAGAUAUCGUAUAUUACUUUUGCUUCGUGAGAAUUACAAAAUUGACAUACAACUAACUUUGGAGAAUAAAUAGAUAGAAGCGUAUAUUAAUCUUGAUUCGUGAGAAUUACAAAAUUGACAUACAAUUAACUUUGGAGAAUAAAUAGAUAGGAGUGAUAAUAAUUAAAUAAAACUAACAUUCCAUCAAAAUAUAGAAAUAUAAUUAGAAAGUUUCAGGUCAAGCAUGUAGUAAAAUUGAGAUUAAUAUUAUAACGAUAUCGAGCUUCAUCAACUAUCCCAAUAAAAGAUAUUACUCCAUUAUGGAGUAUUUAAAUCUCACAAAGAAAGGAAUUCUUGAAAUAAUAUCAAUGCUCUUAGAAAAUUCUAAAAGACUACAAGAUAAAGUGAAAUAUAUAAAGAAAGAAGUAAAGACUAAAUCUAGAGAAAAAUUAUUUUGCUAGGUACGUAUGAUCCCCCUCCUCCCAUCUUCAAUACAAAUAUGACAUCCUUUUUAUAGGAAUUAAAUCUCACAAGGUGCCACGAUGCCUCGUGGUUCUUUUGGCAUGAUGUGUCGUGCUUCUAUUGCCAUGAUGCGUCGUGAUCUUUUUUAUUCCUUUAUUUGCUUUAUCAUGAUAGUAUUAAUUCCUGAAAAACACUAUUAAAAAAUACAAAUAAUUGACACACACACACACACACACACACACACACACACACACACACACACACACACACACANNNNNNNNNNNNNNNNNNNNNNUAUAUACAUACAUAUAUAUUAUUUAAAAUAAUUUAUUUUUUAAGUAUAUAAUAUAUGAAUAUUUUAUAGCCAUCAAUCUACAAUUGUUGCAAUAUAAUGUAUGUCAUUUCUUCUUCUUCUUCUUCUUCUUCUUCUUCGAGUUUCAAUCUGAACUUCAGCCAAAAUCAAGUCUGAAUCUUCACCAAAACCCCUCAAAAUUGAGAUAUAAACUCCAAAAUAUAUUCCCAAUUAUAUACAACAACACCUAAUCAAAACAAAUAAUAGUUUUUAAAAACUCAAAUUUGAAUUCAAAACUUCAAAAAAAUUUAAUGGGUGUCAAUGGUGGAAUUAUUGUUCUCUUAUCUCUUUGAAGGUUUGUUCUUCUUCAUUGAGAAAAUUUGAAGCUGAAGCUAAAUGUGUGUAUAUUUGACUUCAAUUUUGAUGAUCUUUGUUGUUCUUCAUUGAUGAACUUCGACUGGAGUAAAAUAGGGAACCAAUUUUGUUAAAGGGUUUCUUCAAUUUUCUAUGAAUUUAGAGGGAAAAUUUGGUUUCAAAAUAUGGAAAAUGGUAAAAAGAACAUGGAUGUGGGUAAAUGUGGGUGAGACUGAGGGGUUAGGAGAGAGAAACGUGCAGAUUCCUUUAAUUAAGGAGUAAAAAGUGUACAAUUUAUUAUACCCAUAAUUAAUUAUGGUAUAGAAUUGAUAGUUAGAUAUACUAAAUGUAAUUAAAUCAAAUAUUAAAUAUUGAUGGUAAUAUAGUUUCAUAUAUGGAAAAGGAAUGUAAAAAUAACUAGUUUUGUUGAGGUCCAAUAAAUCUGGGGCCUAGCUAGUAUUUUUCAUUUUUUAUAUGUAUAGUCACUUCUUAAAAUAAUAACUAAAAAGAUAUACCCCUUCCGUUUCACUUUACGUGAACUUAUUUCAUUUUUAAUCCGUGCCAAAAAGAAUGACCUAUUUCCCUAUUUGAAAAUUAUUUACCUUUAUGUAAUGUUUUAUAGCCACACAAAAUAUAUGUGCUUCAUUUUACAUCACAAAUUCAAAAGUCUUCUCUCUUUUCUUAAACUCUAUGCCCAGUCAAAUAGGUUCACAUAAAUUGAAACGAAGAAAAUAUUUUAAUAUUAGUAUAUAUAUUAUAGAUAAAAAAUAUAUUUUGUAUAUAUCAUCAUAUAUAUAUUUUUUAUAUUUAUCUAGCAAAUAUAAUUAUUUUCGAUCAACCGCUCAAAUAAGUUAAAAGCCUUUUUUAAUUUCCUGUAGGGGAAUAUCAGCUUGAUCGGAUCGAAAAUUUUCGCUCAACAGGAAACGGGUAACGUGAUCUUUUCAAAACCGCCACCUCAGAGUCAACUCAAUCCAUCAACCUUCCUUCACACACCUCUAUGCAAAAAGAUCAUAUCUUAUUCACGUGUAUUACUAUUACUGCUUAUUGUCUACAUAGCUUCCCUACAAAAAUCACCUAUCAAACCAGAAGAAAACUUUAAAAUCGGAGUAAUAAUAAAGGAAUAAUUGCACUUUCAUCCCUCAAUUUUUUAGUAUCUUUUUAUUUUGGUCCUUGUAAUAUUUUACCAAGCAUAUUUAAUCUUGAUUUAAUUAAAAUAUGUGUUUUUGGUCUCCUACCUAACAUAUCAUAUUAGAUUGUUAGAUUUGUAAUACCUUAGAGUAUAGAGUAACAAUACAAACUCAAAAAUAAUACAUGUGUAGCUAAAUAAUUUAAAAGUUAAUAGUAUGUUAAUUUUGUCAAAAUUCACAAGAAGAAGGUUAAAAGUACACCUACCAAUUAAAUUAAGGGAUAUAAAAUCGUAUAGCCUUUCUUAAAAUAAUAAUCGGAAAAAAUAUAUUUUUUGUAUAUAUAUACAUUUUGUAUGUUAUAUACAAAAAAUAUAUAUUUUUUGGUUACCAAAUAUACAUAAUUUCCGGCACGGGUUAAAAGUAAAAAUGCCCAUUAAUUUAAGGUUUAUGUGCUCUAACUAAAUAUUAUAAGGAUCAAAAUUAAAAACUUGUUAUUGUAUCAGGGAUUAAAAGAGCAAAUUAUCCAAAUUUGAAGGUACAAAGGAAGGAUUAAAGGAAUUACUUAUCAAAAAGGGUAAAAUGGUAAAAGGAGCAAUAGAAUUGGCACAGCGCCACGACCCCACGUUAAUUGAAUUAUCCUGUAACCUCUUUUUUUAAGGCCAAGGAAAAUAAGAAAUAGGCCUUUGUCUUUGGGUUGUGUUUGGUCCUUAGAAUUGGUACGAAAAAUUGGGAAAUGGGAAGGGCGUUUGUGUAUGUAAUAUUGGGCGGUGGGGUUGCAGCUGGUUACGCAGCUCAUGAAUUUGUUAAACGAGGUGUCUCUCAUGGUGAACUCUGCAUCAUCUCUGAAGAACCUGUAAUUUCUACUUUUUUCACUCUAUUUUAUUAUUAUCUUGUUUUGACAGUUAAAUGUUAAUAUUGGUUACUUUUUCUUAUGAGCUCAGUUUUAGUUCCAAUUUAUUUGUGGUAUUUUAAAAUUUUUAACUUGUUUUUGUCUUCUUCUUCUGAAUUGUGACCAAUUUGUGUUUUUUUUUUCCAUAUCUGAGCUGAAUUUUGGAUUUUAUGAUUACUAAUUUGCUUGACAGCAGGAGUCAAAUUUGAUAAUUUGAAUCAAAUUGAAAUUUUGUGUUUUCUUUUAUAGGUUCAGCUUUAAUGUUGAUGAAAAUUAUAUGUUUACAGCAGCUAAUUUUUUGGUCUAGAAUAACUGAUGACAUAGAAUAUACCUGAGGAUACUUAAAAAUAGUAUUUUUUUGUUAGAAUUUCAUUAAUUCUAAGACUGUUGGUUUAUAAGGAAAUGUGAAUAACGAGUAUUUUUCCCAAGCCUCUGUUCAUUAGCUUUUAGAAAAUUUUAGGAGGAAUAGGGUGGAUAUUUGAUUUACUAGGGGGAAUCGCGAAAAGCUGUUCUGAUUCCAAUAACAAUGUCACAUGAUAGAAAUGCUAAAAUUUGUAGAUCUGCUAUUGACUUUUUCAGUACACAGUGCAUACUGCCUACUUGAAGCUAUGCCAGAAUGGUUGUCUCUUUAUUCUGUUCCUCCCUCUCCUCAUUCCCCUUUUUUCAAGGAUUCAUUCUUUUGAAGCAAAAUAUGCAUAGAACUUAGCUAUUUAUUGUUCUAAUUCCAUAUUCUGUUGUCUCAUUCAAUUUAAUGUCAUUAGACAAAAUGAAGACCAUUGCUUCGAGUGAUCUGCCCCUCAUGUAUCAUGAACUCUUACAAACAAACAAACAACAACCCAGUAUAAUCCCACUUAGUGGGGUCUGGGGAGGGUAGUAUGUNNNNNNNNNNNNNNNNNNNNNNNNNNNNNNNNNNNNNNNNNNNNNNNNNNNNNNNNNNNNNNNNNNNNNNNNNNNNNNNNNNNNNNNNNNNNNNNNNNNNNNNNNNNNNNNNNNNNNNNNNNNNNNNNNNNNNNNNNNNNNNNNNNNNNNNNNNNNNNNNNNNNNNNNNNNNNNNNNNNNNNNNNNNNNNNNNNNNNNNNCCAAGAACUUCCCACCUUGCUCUUGGGGAGACUCGAACUCACAACCUCUCGGUUGGAAGUGGGGAUUGCUUACCAUCAGAGCAACCCCUCUUGUCACUGAUUAAACAAAAUAAGACCAAAAUUGAUCAGAUGCUUCCGUAUGGAGACAAUCAUUUAAUGGAUGUGGAUGGUAACACA
rnacentral:lncRNA from 1 species